AUACGGAGGAUGCGAGCGUUAUCCGGAUUUAUUGGGUUUAAAGGGAGCGUAGGUGGGAUAUUAAGUCAGCUGUGAAAGUUUGGGGCUCAACCUUAAAAUUGCAGUUGAUACUGGUUUCCUUGAGUACGGUACAGGUGGGCGGAAUUCGUGGUGUAGCGGUGAAAUGCUUAGAUAUCACGAAGAACUCCGAUUGCGAAGGCAGCCUGCUGGACUGUAACUGACGCUGAUGCUCGAAAGUGCGGGGAUCGAACAGGAUUAGAUACCCUGGUAGUCCGCACAGUAAACGAUGAAUACUUGUUUUCGGCGAUAUAAUGUCGGAGGCAAAGCGAAAGCGAUAAGUAUUCCACCUGGGGAGUACGCCGGCAACGGUGAAACUCAAAGGAAUUGACGGGG
rnacentral:rRNA from 1 species